rnacentral:rRNA from 1 species
GGGCACCACCAGCAGUGGGGCCUGCGCUUUAUUUUGACUCAACACGGGAAAACUCACCCGGCCCGGACUCUAGUAGGAUUGACCUAUUGACUAGCUCUUUCUUUAUUCUGGGUGGGGUGGUGCAUGGCCGUUCUUAGUUGGUGGAGCGAUUUUGCUGGUUAAUUCCUAUCACGAACGAGACUCUAGCCUACUAGUGAGCCGGCCUCGAUUGUUUGCGCCCGGGUAGGGAGCUUCUUAGAAGGACCGACGGCCAUAACCCCGUAAAAAUGAGAUAAAUCACGUGUGUGCGAUGCCCUUAAAUGCCGGGGACCGCGCGCGCUCCACAGUGAAGUGAUCAUUACGCUCGCUAUCCCGCUCCGAGAGGAGCGGGUAACCUUUUGAAUUCCCUUCAAGAAAGGCAUGGGGCUUUGAACCUUUUGCUACUAAACAAGGACUUCCCGUUAGGCCUGGGAAAUUACCUUACGCCAAUUACUUCCCUGCCCUUGGUACUCACCGCAUGUCCUUACUCCUUUCUGCAGG